GUGGGGAAUCUUGCGCAAUGGGCGAAAGCCUGACGCAGCCAUGCCGCGUGAAUGAUGAAGGUCUUAGGAUUGUAACAUUCUUUCACCGGGGACGAUAAUGAAGGUACCCGGAGAAGAAGCUCCGGCUAACUUCGUGCCAGCAGCCGCGGUAAUACGAAGGGGGCUAGCGUUGCUCGGAAUUACUGGGCGUAAAGGGCGCGUAGGCGGACAGCUUAGUCAGAGGUGAAAGCCCAGGGCUCAACCUUGGAAUUGCCUUUGAUACUGGCUGUCUUGAGUUUGGGAGAGGUGAGUGGAACUCCGAGUGUAGAGGUGAAAUUCGUAGAUAUUCGGAAGAACACCAGUGGCGAAGGCGACUCACUGGCCCAAUACUGACGCUGAGGCGCGAAAGCGUGGGGAGCAAACAGGAUUAGAAACCCGAGUAGUCC
rnacentral:rRNA from 1 species